ACGCACGCUGGCGGCGUGCUUAACACAUGCAAGUCGAGCGGAAAGGCCUCAGCUUGCUGGGGUACUCGAGUGGCGAACGGGUGAGUAACACGUGGGUGAUCUGCCUUGCACUCUGGGAUAAGCUUGGGAAACUGGGUCUAAUACCGGAUAUGAACUGCCUUUAGUGUGGUGGUUGGAAAGUUUUUUCGGUGCAAGAUGAGCUCGCGGCCUAUCAGCUUGUUGGUGGGGUAAUGGCCUACCAAGGCGUCGACGGGUAGCCGGCCUGAGAGGGUGUACGGCCACAGUGGGACUGAGAUACGGCCCAGACUCCUACGGGAGGCAGCAGGGGGGAAUAUUGCACAAUGGGCGGAAGCCUGAUGCAGCGACGCCGCGUGGGGGAUGACGGCCUUCGGGUUGUAAACUCCUUUCGACAGGGACGAAGCUUUUUGUGACGGUACCUGUAGAAGAAGCACCGGCUAACUACGUG
rnacentral:rRNA from 1 species